rnacentral:rRNA from 1 species
GUAGGUGGCAAGCGUUGUCCGGAAUUAUUGGGCGUAAAGCGCGCGCAGGUGGUUCUUUAAGUCUGAUGUGAAAGCCCCCGGGCUCAACCGGGGAGGGUCAUUGGAAACUGGGGAACUUGAGUGCAGGAGAGGAAGGUGGAAUUCCACGUGUAGCGGUGAAAUGCGUAGAUAUGUGGAGGAACACCAGUGGCGAAGGCGACUUUCUGGCCUGUAACUGACACUGAGGCGCGAAAGCGUGGGGAGCAAACAGGAUUAGAUACCCUGGUAGUCCACGCCGUAAACGAUGAGUGCUAAGUGUUGGGGGGUUUCCGCCCCUCAGUGCUGCAGCUAACGCAUUAAGCACUCCGCCUGGGGAGUACGGUCGCAAAGACUG